UCCAGACCUACAGAAAUGAGUUGGAUGCGAGUCCACCCAGAGACACUUCAGAAGAAGAGCCUGGCAAUCUACUUCAAAAAAAUCACCCAUUGAAAACCCAGUGGAGCACAGUUCUCCUCUGACACACGUGGGGCUACCGUGAUUCCGAAUCGACUCCACGGCAACUGGAAAGGGAAGCAAGCAGAGAGCUGGGGACCUCAUACCACCAAGAAAGCAGCACCAGGAGCAGAGCACAUCCUCCGGACCCGGG